CCUCAUGAUCCACCUGCCUCAGCCUCCCAAAGGCGAAAUUCCAUCUUAAAAAAAAAAAAUAACCCACCAAAUACUUGAAUAAAUAACCACUUUAUCAAAUUCAACUUCAUGUUGAAUUAAUCUAAUUAUUGGCAAAUAAACAGAACAUUAUUGAGAGGUUGUCAACAAAUACUGCAAUGACUUUAAAUAAGAGAAAAACCUUAGUCUACAGCCAGAGAGAUGGAUGGUGUCAUCACUUAUGCAAUCAUUUUUCAAUUCCAUUUCCUUGGCUCUACACUAUAAGUAAAUGAAAAACAAAAGAAGAGAUACAAAGUUAUUCAUAUACCUAAGUUAAAAUUUCAGUGAACUAAAUUUUUUCAAUAAAUAUUAAUAAAUGGUCCAUUGCCCAGGGGUUUCAGAAAGCCUUGCUACUGAGGGAAAGGCAGAGUGUUAAAGAAUGCUAUCUAGGCCAAUUUCCCCAGGAGGGCUGAGACAGAUAUGCAAAACCUCUACGGUCCAUCUAGUCAGAAUAACAUACUUCAAUUGCUCUAAGUGUUUCUUUUUU